CACCUCAACAGUUUUCUUCGAUCUAUUUGCAUAUGCAUCUGCACCUGUAUCACAAGAAACACGCGACUCCUCCUUUCGGCGAAACAUAGCAGUUUCGUUAAACUUGACAUCACUGCUAAUAAUAAUUUUCUUAUCUUCAGGACACCACAAACGAUUUCAGGACACCACAAACGAAAACCUUUAGUACCAGAAGCAUAACCCAAAAACUU
rnacentral:lncRNA from 1 species